UGCCAGCCGCCGCGGUAAUACGGAGGGUGCAAGCGUUGUUCGGAAUCACUGGGCGUAAAGCGCGUGUAGGCGGCUUCCUAAGUCUGGUGUGAAAGCCCGGGGCUCACCCCCGGAAGUGCAUUGGAUACUGGGAAGCUAGAGUACCGGAGAGGAGGGUGGAAUUCCUGGUGUAGCGGUGAAAUGCGUAGAUAUCAGGAGGAACACCAGUGGCGAAGGCGGCCCUCUGGACGGAUACUGACGCUGAGACGCGACAGCAUGGGGAGCAAACAGGAUUAGAUA
rnacentral:rRNA from 1 species